rnacentral:rRNA from 1 species
UACGGAGGAUCCGAGCGUUAUCCGGAUUUAUUGGGUUUAAAGGGUGCGUAGGCGGUUUGAUAAGUUAGAGGUGAAAUGUCGGGGCUCAACCCCGAAACUGCCUCUAAUACUGUUGGACUAGAGAAUAGUUGCGGUAGGCGGAAUGUAUGGUGUAGCGGUGAAAUGCUUAGAGAUCAUACAGAACACCGAUUGCGAAGGCAGCUUACCAAACUAUAUCUGACGUUGAGGCACGAAAGCGUGGGUAGCGAACAGG